AAUACAAUGGCGCAGUAUCCUAGUCGGGACUUGUGUUAACGAGGGCGGGGUUAAAAUAUCGCCGAAGGGCACAUCGAUGAAGUUUCUGGUGUUGGCUUGUUAUGCCCAAUAGCGGGCUGAUGCUGGGAGUUAAGGACUGUGGGCGGCCGGUAAUGGCAUACCGAACUCGACCCACUUUCCGUGGAGACCUACUUGGGUGGACGUAAAAUCGCCUAUCGGGUAGGGUUAAACCUGCAAUGUGGCACAAAAGCUAUGUGCAGAGUAGCCUGCCUUGAGUGAUUUGGGUGGAUAAAGAACUACGGUAUCGGCGAGGCAUCGCCGUAUUCCGAUCGCUUUUGAAACCCACGUUGCAAAAGAGGAUAAGUCUCACGAGGACCGUUAAGGAAAGCUUCUAGGCUGAGCGACGAGGAUUAUGGUGUACGCUAAGUGGCGAUUCGGUGCUACGGAGGAGCCGUCAAAGGGAAACCGCUUAUUCGGCGACGGUAAGUCGGCUCUUGGGAAAUCCUACCGAACCUAAGGUGCAAGGUCUACUCGUCGCGUUGCCAUUGUAU
rnacentral:sRNA from 1 species